UAUGACCCACUGUACACACCAACGAGCCAGGGUGGAAGAGAGCAACGCCAGAGAAAGCUGGAAAGAUUGAGAUGUGGCUCAGACCAAAAAAAAACAAGCGCACACUGUUUGAGGGUUUAUUACACUAUCGACAGCUGGGGAAGGAAUUAAAGCCUCAUUCCAGCCAGUGUGGAAAUAACAGAGGAAGAAAGGAGGUCACUGGCAUCUCAACCGAAGUACUGAAUAAGAAUGUUAUUGCUUCUUUUAAAUGCUGUACAUGGUUUGUAAUGACUGCUGUUUUCAAACUCAGUAAUAGGAUCCCAUGUGGUACCUGUUCCACAGGCCUUUAGGUUUCCAUGCAACAAAUGCACACAUAAAGAAUACAGCUGCUUUUUAAAGGUUCCCUUUAAAUCUGUCUGUAUGUACUCCUUUUAGAUACUUUUUAGGUUACAUAGCUUUCACUAUUAUGCUGAUGAUGCACAGAUCUACCCUAUUAUUAACUGCAGUGACCGCAUCUUAAAUUGAUAGUUAAGAGAUUACUUACCCCUUAAAUUGUACUUCAUUUGUUUAUGAAUGAUGGUGUUUUAAGGGGCUUGGGUUUUGCCCAUUCAAAUUAAUGUACAAAUUAAAGGAUCUCUGGCUACCAUGCUAAACAUCGUAA